rnacentral:misc_RNA from 1 species
CGAAAAACGUCAUAUUUAAACAGAAAACAAAACGUCUUAUACUAUUUAUUUAUAAAUAUAAAAUACAUAUUUAUACUUAACUAUCAGUGACGAAUUUAUAAAUAAAACUUAAAUGGAAUAAUACGUUGAUAUAUAAAAUCAGCAGACAAGUUGCCUACACCUAUUGGACUUGACCUUAUAUUUCGCAAGCGUGCCGCCUUCCCCAGUCGAGGCACACUCACUCAAACAGUGUUAAACGAGCAACGCGCACGAAGACUAACCAUGUUUCCAAAUCCGUUCAACAGAAAACAUUCGACAAUAAGACAAGUUUUCGAUAGAUUCCUGGACGGUAACAAGAGUGCGCGGAAAAAUGCUUUAUCUAGAAAGGACAGUAAGUGUAGCAACAGUUCGUCUUGUUCUAACGCUUCGACGUCUAGUCGAAAAAUCUUCGGUUUUUCGAUUCGUUCAAAGUGAAUACGUUUCGUUUCGUCGUAAACCUGGCUGCAGUUUUAUGUAAUUCGUUCCUCAACCUUUGGAACUCGAAAUACUAAACUGGUCUCAGGCGAUGUAAUGCGAAGUAAAGUAGUAACGGGACACUAAACCCGGUUAAAGAACGGUGUCUCAAGAGGUUUACCGACGCUCCGGUGAGAAGAAUAAAAAAGCAUUGAGGACCUUUUUGAAUAAAUCAAAUAUGUUAUGACGAUGGUUUACUUUGGCCAAGAUGGAGCUAAGCUCUUACAAACAUAACAGUUUUUUGAAAAAAAGUUUCAUGUUUUAUGAUAAGGUAUAUCAAUAAAUUUUACCGCAGUUCAUCAUCAAGCAUGAAAAUGGACGCUUUUAGCGUUAAUGUUUUUAAAAUGUUUUAUUUCGGUGUUUUGAAAAGUGUGUUAUAAAUUUUAAAAAACAUUUUACAAAUUACUACACACUGUGUAACAUUAUUUAUCCAUAUAUUCCUUCUGUCUGCAAAGUUUUAACGCCAAAUUAUAAGUAAAGUUUCCUUGUGUUAUUUUCAAACUCCUUUCAAAAUGAAAUG